UGGGGGAUAUUGCACAAUGUGCGAAAGCCUGAUGCAGCGACGCCGCGUGGGGGAUGAAGGCUUUCGGGUUGUAAACCUCUUUCGCUAUCGAACAAGGCCCGCUUAGGGUGGGUUGAGGGUAGGUGGAGAAGAAGCGCCGGCUAACUACGUGCCAGCAGCCGCGGUAAUACGUAGGGCGCGAGCGUUGUCCGGAAUUAUUGGGCGUAAGGGCUUGUAGGCGGCUUGUUGCGCCUGCUGUGAAAACGCGGGGCUUAACUUCGCGCGUGCAGUGGGUACGGGCAGGCUUGAGUGUGGUAGGGGUGACUGGAAUUCCAGGUGUAGCGGUGGAAUGCGCAGAUAUCUGGAGGAACACCGAUGGCGAAGGCAGGUCACUGGGCCAUUACUGACGCUGAGGAGCGAAAGCAUGGGUAGCGAACAGG
rnacentral:rRNA from 1 species